GCUUGUGCUCUGUCCUGUUCCCUGUCUCCCCCUGGUCCUGCCCUCUAGUUCAUGCCCACUUCUUCUCUAACUGACCCUGACCUCCACACCUUCUUGUUUCAUGUUGUCCUCCCACUUUCUACCUGCUCUCAGGUCUCAGCGGCGGUGGCAGCCGAGGUGCAGGAUGCGAGAAGGCGCCCCCCGGCCGGGCUCCCGCUCCAGGCCUCACACCCCUGCGGCCCUCUGAGCCCACCAUGGCCGUCCCACCAGGCCAUGGUCCCUUCUCUGGCUUUCCGGGGCCCCAGGAACACACACAGGUAUUGCCUGAUGUGCGGCUACUGCCACGGAGACUGCCCCUGGCCUUCCGGGAUGCGACCUCGGCCCCGCUGCGCAAGCUCUCAGUGGACCUCAUCAAGACCUACAAGCACAUCAAUGAGGUAUACUAUGCGAAGAAGAAGCGGCGGGCCCAACAGGCGCCACCCCAGGACUCGAGCACCAAAAAGGAGAAGAAGGUCCUGAAUCACGGCUAUGACGAUGACAACCACGACUACAUUGUGCGCAGCGGCGAGCGCUGGCUAGAGCGCUAUGA
rnacentral:lncRNA from 1 species